GAUGAACGCUGGCGGUGUGCCUAAUACAUGCAAGUCGAGCGAACGGACGAGAAGUAGUCUUCUCUGAUGUUAUCGGCGGACGGGUGAUGAACAUGGGGAUGACAUAACUAUAGGACUGGGAUAACUUCGGGGAACCUGAGCUAAUACCGGAGAAUAUUUUGAACAGCAUGGUUCAACAGUUGAAGACGGUCUUGCUGUCACUUAUAGAUAGAUCCGCGAUGCAUUAUAGAGUUGGUAAGGUAACGGCUUACCAAGGCAACGAUGCAUAGCCGCCCAGAGAGGGAGAACGGCCACACUGGAACUGAGACACGGCCCAGACUGCUACGGGAGGCGGCAGUGGGGACUCUUGGACGAUGGGCGAAAGCAUGACGGAGCAAGGCCGCGUGAGUGAUGAAGGUCUUCGGAGCGUAAAACUCUGUUAUUAGGGAAGAACAUAUGUGUAAGUAACUGUGCACAACUUGACGGUACCUAAUGAGACAGCCACGGCUAACUCCGUG
rnacentral:rRNA from 1 species